rnacentral:lncRNA from 1 species
UAGUUGUAAUUUCUUAGUCUCUUCCAACAUAUGACUGUUCCUUUGCCUUUCGUUGUUUUCUAUGACCUUGACACUUCUGAAGAGUAAUGUGAUCCCCUUCCCUUGAGAGGAGUUAGCAAGAAACAGGACUAGCGCAUCUCUGAGAACACCUUCUGUUGGCUUUCCUUCCAGGAAGAAAAUGAGCAUAAAGUUAGCACUGAGCUUUUCUGGAACCACGGACAUGGGGUGAGGAAACAGAGACUCAAAGUUCAGCAGCAGGCAACUGCCAGAGCUGGGCAUCAAGCUGAAGUCAUUCCGCUUCCACCAGACCUCCUGGUGCGGCAUGGAAAUCUGACCCUUUUAUUAAGAUGUGUAUUUCCUCAGGGUCCAAAUGUCAUGGCAUUUUGGUAUGACCAUGUUAUGAAAGAUAAAAAUCAUACAAUCUAUUCUUUUGAUACUUGUUAUCCAGUUUCCAAAAUAUUCUUAUCAAAGGGAUUAAAAUAAAGUUUGAAACUUAAAAUUUCUUUUAUUCAGAAAAAAAUGGUAAGAAAUAUUUAAAUCCACAGUGGGAAGCCAAAUAAAUAAUGUGAAGACAUCCCUUUCCUCUCGGGUCUCUCCGAUCGGUGCAUCUUUCAGUGAGGUGGAGCAGGACAGUGACAUCCGACGUGGC